rnacentral:sRNA from 1 species
AACUACAUGCUAUAAUGAUGAGGCAAACGAGUUUAUGGUGGUCCACUAGCCUUCUUCAUCAAGAAAGUAGGUGGUGCCUAUGUUAUUUUGGGGCGUUACCUGGAAAUCGUAAACGUGUGACUGUUUUCGAAAGUCUUACGCUUAUGAUUGCAUUUGCAGUCCUAACCGUAACGAUUAUAAACAGCAA